UACGUAGGGUGCGAGCGUUAAUCGGAAUUACUGGGCGUAAAGCGUGCGCAGGCGGUUUUGUAAGCCAGAUGUGAAAUCCCCGGGCUUAACCUGGGAAUGGCAUUUGGGACUGCAAGGCUGGAGUGUGGCAGAGGAGACUGGAAUUCCUGGUGUAGCAGUGAAAUGCGUAGAUAUCAGGAGGAAUACCGGUGGCGAAGGCGGCAUUCUGGACUGUAACUGACACUGAGGAACGAAAGCCAGGGGAGCAAACGGG
rnacentral:rRNA from 1 species